rnacentral:rRNA from 1 species
AGUGAACGCUGGCGGUAGGCCUAACACAUGCAAGUCGAACGGCAGCACAGUAAGAGCUUGCUCUUACGGGUGGCGAGUGGCGGACGGGUGAGGAAUACAUCGGAAUCUACUUUUUCGUGGGGGAUAACGUAGGGAAACUUACGCUAAUACCGCAUACGACCUACGGGUGAAAGCAGGGGAUCUUCGGACCUUGCGCGAUUGAAUGAGCCGAUGUCGGGUUAGCUAGUUGGCGGGGUAAAGGCCCACCAAGGCGACGAUCCGUAGCUGGUCUGAGAGAAUGAUCAGCCACACUGGAACUGAGAGACGGUCCAGACUCCUAGGGGAGGCAGCAGUGGGGAAUAUUGGACAAUGGGCGCAAGCCUGAUCCAGCCAUACCGCGUGGGUGAAGAAGGCCUUCGGGUUGUAAAGCCCUUUUGUUGGGAAAGAAAAGCAGCAGGUUAAUACCCCGCUGUUAUGACGGUACCCAAAGAAUAAGCACCGGCUAACUUCGUG